GUGCUCCUUUCAGCAGCACAUAUACUAAAACUGGGACAAUACAGAGAAGAUUAGCAUGUCCCCUGAAUAAAGUUGAUAUGCAAAUUUGUGAAGCAUUGCAUAGUUAA